GAUGAACGCUGGCGGCGUGCCUAAUACAUGCAAGUCGAGCGAACAGACGAGGAGCUUGCUCCUCUGACGUUAGCGGCGGACGGGUGAGUAACACGUGGAUAACCUACCUAUAAGACUGGGAUAACUUCGGGAAACCGGAGCUAAUACCGGAUAAUAUAUUGAACCGCAUGGUUCAAUAGUGAAAGACGGUUUUGCUGUCACUUAUAGAUGGACCCGCGCCGCAUUAGCUAGUUGGUAAGGUAACGGCUUACCAAGGCGACGAUGCGUAGCCGACCUGAGAGGGUGAUCGGCCACACUGGAACUGAGACACGGUCCAGACUCCUACGGGAGGCAGCAGUAGGGAAUCUUCCGCAAUGGGCGAAAGCCUGGCGGAGCAACGCCGCGUGAGUGAUGAAGGUCUUCGGAUCGUAAAACUCUGUUAUUAGGGAAGAACAAAUGUGUAAGUAACUAUGCACGUCUUGACGGUACCUAAUCAGAAAGCCACGGCUAACUACGUG
rnacentral:rRNA from 1 species